UUUCAUCUGUUUUCCCUCUCCCUAUUUAUAGCAAAUGGAGAAGCAACUGGGAAUCUGUGUCCGUGUGCCUUUUCCCUGGAUGUGGAUGCAGAGGUUUCACAGCAGGAUUGGUGUCAGAAGGAAUGGAGUGAAUCCAGGAAGGCAAUCUGUGAUUCACGGGAGCCUCUGGCUUGGUUCCCAGAGCAGACUCCAUGUGUUGAAGGACGGGCAAGUAUGGAAUAGCCUGGCCACAAAUAUUUCAGCAGGACACAAUAUCUCCUGCACCUUUCCCACCUGCAGAACGCCG
rnacentral:lncRNA from 12 species